rnacentral:rRNA from 1 species
GUGCCAGCCGCCGCGGUAAUAUGUAGGGUGCGAGCGUUAAUCGGAAUUACUGGGCGUAAAGCGUGCGCAGGCGGCUUUGCAAGACAGAGGUGAAAUCCCCGGGCUCAACCUGGGAACUGCCUUUGUGACUGCAAGGCUAGAGUACGGCAGAGGGGGAUGGAAUUCCGCGUGUAGCAGUGAAAUGCGUAGAUAUGCGGAGGAACACCGAUGGCGAAGGCAAUCCCCUGGGCCUGUACUGACGCUCAUGCACGAAAGCGUGGGGAGCAAACAGGAUUAGA